GUCAAAGGUCACGGAGUAUUUAUUUACAACCGUUUAUUGGAAAGGCUGCAGUCGUGUUCAAUAUUUUCUUGCCUGGCCAUAAUGUCCGGCGAGAUAGAAGUGGAUUCUGCCUAUCGUGGAGUAGCGGCAUCUUGGUUAGGAAUCGACACAAACAUUUAUGCAAAACGUAAAGCCAACAAAAGUCAAUUCAAGUCAAAUUAUGGUGAAAGUGAAUCUUCAUCACAAGAAAAAAAGAAAGACAAAAAGAAAGUCACUACAAAUUACCUAAUAAAAAACAAGAUAGAAAAGAAAAUAUCAUCAGUAAAUUACUGGAAAUCACAAAAUAGAUUUGAAAACAAGAGAAAGAGACCCCUUGAAGUGGAUGAAGAAGAAAGUAAAAGUAGUUUAGUUAAGGCUAAGAAAGAAAAAACAAUUAAUGGGCCGUCAUCCACUUCUCUAAAUCCCAGUGUUCAUGAACUGAACACAAAACUGCUUGAUCCAACAUUAUCGAAAAAAGCCAGAAAAAGAAUCCGAAAAAAGAUUGCCAUGUUAACACAGGGAAAUACAUGAAGUAAAAGUAUUUGCUAAGAAAGUAUAAAGAUAUAUAUGUGAUUUAGUUCGCAGAUGGGGACAGUUUAUUAAGACUUAUUCUGAAGAUGGGGAUGCAAUCAGAACACAGGUAGUCCAGAAGUGAAAUAUGGUUUUUGCUUGGCCACUUUUGUUGAUUUUUUGUUUAAGAAUCAGAGAUGAGGGUUAGAAUUGAUAUUUUCUGCAAGGUUUUGGUGAAUAUUCAUGGUUUAGAGGUGGAAGGAUAACAUAGUUAAGAGGUUGGCAAGGGUGUAUAGUUACAUGUUAUUAGUAUGCUACUUCAAGUUUGUGUAUCUCAAAUUUUCAGUGGUCAAGCUCAUUCAAACUUUGGAGCAAAGACAUGGCCAACGAAAAAGUUGAAGUCCGGCAAAGACACCAGAAUUAACAUUAAAUCAAUAGUUAAAUUAAUGGUGGUCUGCAUCCUGAUAAAUCUGCUUUAUUUUUAUUAUCUCCCUUGACACACUAAAUGGAGAUAAUAUACUUCUUUUCCUAUCAAAAAUUGAUUCAAACUUCAAACUAUUUACACUCUUCCUCCUAGAUUUUGUUUUUAUUAGAAUAUAAAUCAUUUGUUUACAAGAAUAUUUGCUUAUAUGUCCAAUGACCAUGUUGCAUUUUGAAAAUAAUGUUACAUCAAAUAGUUUUACUGACAUGACCAAUCAAUGUUGAAUUUUUCAAAUGUGUUUUUUUGCAUAAUUAC